CAGCAGAGGUCGAUCUCUCCUUGGCUUCGUCUGCCUGCUUUCAUCUUCGCGGAUCUCUCUUUCUCAGUUGCGCACGUGCUUUUGCUCACACACACACACACACACACACACACAUAAACACACCCAAGCCGACAGCUCUCUGCCGCACUCCCUGAUUUCUCUGCUCUCCGAGCCCUCCUGUGCGCCUCUUCUUACUUUCACAUAUUUUCUGCCCUCUCUCCUUCUCUUGCCUCACCCUGCUUCACCUCAGAGAUGCGGAGCUCCUCGCGGCUUGUUUGGCAGCCCGUCUCGCGUACCGCCUUGACGAGUGUGCGGCGGCUCGCCUCCGACAUCCGUCUGCGCACUGACUAUGGCAACGCUACGCCAGCGCAACGCCCCACGGCAAGCAAAGGCCUGAUCUAUGUGACGGAGCCGGCAACGCGGAAGGGUUCCUUUGCCCGCUAUGUGCGGUCUGCGCGGGACCAGGCGCCGUACAUUGCCGGCGCCGUGGUAGGGGUGUGCAUCUACAGCGCGGCCACACUCGCCAUUCCCGCCGGCUUUGGCGCGCUCAUCGACCAAGCAAGUAGAGGGCAGAUGCCGCUCGGUACGUCGAUGCAGCUGCUGGGUUGGUUCAGUCUCUGUGCAACGGGCAACUACCUACGACUGUACUGCAUCGGCUACGCGGGCGAGAACAUCAUCGCGAAGCUACGCCGCGCCUUGUACAGCGGCAUCUUGCGUCAGCCGGCAGCGUUUUUCGACUCCACAGAGAACCGCACCGGCGCGCUCGUGCAACGACUAUCUAUGGACUGCAACGUCGUGGGUAGCUCCCUGACAGAGGCGGUGACAAACGGCAGCAAGAAUCUGCUGCAGACGAUCGGCAGCAUCAGCGUGAUGCUCUACUACUCACCGCUGCUGACGAGCGUGAUUGUGUGUAUGAUACCGCCGGUGGCCAUCUUCGCCGGCUCGUACGGCCGUUACAUUCGCAAGUUGCAGCACAAUAUGCAGGAUGCUCUGGCCGACAUGGGCACCGUCGCCGAGGAGCGGCUGUCGAACAUCCGUACUGUGAAGUCCUUCGGCACCGAGGCGCAAGAAGAGUCCUGGUACGGCAAGAACGUCCAGCGUGUCUUCGAUCUCAGCAUGCGCAUGGUGCGCUGGAACUCCGUCUACGUUGCGUCACUGCAGACGGUAGGGUAUGGUGCCAUGUACUGUAUCAUGUGGGCCGGCUCGAUGCUCGUCACCUCCGGCCAUCUGACCCCUGGCGUUCUCUUCUCCUUCAUGCUCUAUACGGUGUACUGCGGCAUUGGGCUGAUGGGGUUGACGAAUCUGGCCACCGAGAUCAAUAAGGGCUACGGCGCCUCGCUGCGGCUCUUUGACAUCCUGGACAAGGCUGAGGCAGUGCGGCAGGCGCACACAGCAUGUAAACAGCUGACGCCAAUCACGUGCGACUGGCGCGUGACUUUCAAGGACGUGACCUUCGCCUACCCUACGAGGCCGGAGGCGCUCAUCUACAGAAACAUGAGCCUCACCAUCGAGCCAUCCCGCUGCACUUGCGUCGUUGGCAGCAGCGGCUCCGGCAAGUCGUCCUUGGCCAUGCUGUUGCUGAAGCUAUACGAGCCGACAGCCGGUUUGGUGCAGCUUGGCGAGCACGACCUCCGCGACAUCAGCUCACAUUGGCUGCACGAGCACAUUGGCUACGUUGGGCAGGAGCCGGUGCUGUUUGGCGGGUCCAUCGCACAGAACAUCGCCUACGGCGCUCCAGGCCGAAACUGGGAUGACCCGAUCGAUCGCUGGCUCUACGCUGCCGUCGUCGAGGCGGCCCGCAAGGCCAACGCGCACGACUUCAUUUCCGCGCUGCCGGACGGGUACGACACGUUCGUUGGCGAGAGCGGCCGCAGCCUCUCUGGCGGGCAGAAGCAGCGCAUCGCCAUCGCGCGUGCCCUGAUGCGCCAUCCGCGUAUCACCAUCCUGGACGAGGCGACGUCUGCGCUCGACAGCGAGAGUGAGGUGGUAGUGCACGACGCCAUCUCGCGCCUGAUCGAGGAGGCGAAGGACUCGAAGCGGCAGCACACGGUGCUCAUGUUCGCACACAAGUUGAGCAUGAUCCGCAAGGCGGACCACAUACUCGUACUGGACAAGGGGCAGGUUGCUGUUGAGGGCACCUUCGCGGAGGUGUCCAAGAACAAGCUCUUCUGCGACCUCGUGGGGCUCGUCGCCACACCGCAGGUAGGCGCCGGCACGUCGUGAGUGCAGGCUGUUGAGUUGAUGAAUCUCUUUCCGAUCCCCUCCCCCCACCAACCGCUCUAGUUGAGCUUGAACUCGCUAGAUUCCUCCUCUUUUGCGUGUGCUUAAAAGGAGGCGCUUGCAGAGGAUAGGGUGGGGUGUGCGUGCGCGUGUGUGUGCGGCAGAGAGACAGAACAUUGGUAAGGCCCCUCACCUCCUCCGCUCUACUUUUCCAGCUCUUGCUCGGACUGUUGGAGUGCGCCACUGUGUCGUCGAGCGCGCACGACGCUGUGAGUGCGGUGCCUGCUGGCGUGAGUCGGUGCAUGCUCUUGUGGCGUGGGUGGUGCUUGAGGCUCGUUGACGGCACCAUCGCUCUCCAUCUCUCCUUCUCGCGUCCCUUCCUCCUCCCUCUGUGCGUCUUGCCUGCCGCUGACUCUCUCUGUAUAUAUGUGUGUGUGGAGGGGCGAGGGGGGAGAGACUUGGGAAUGUACCACUGCGCAUACCAGCCUCCGCUCUCUAUCGUCGAUGCCUUCUCUCUCGCCUUCCUUCUCUGUUCCAUCUAACAACCUCCGUGUUAUGCAGCGCUCUCUUACGGAAACAGAAGU
rnacentral:misc_RNA from 1 species